rnacentral:misc_RNA from 1 species
GAUGAAGUACGUAGCGAAAUGCGAUAAGUAAUGUGAAUUGCAGAAUUCAGUGAAUCAUCGAAUCUUUGAACGCACAUUGCGCCCGCCAGUAUUCUGGCGGGCAUGCCUGUUCGAGCGUCAUUACAACCCUCAGGCCCCCGGGCCUGGCGUUGGGGAUCGGCGGAGCCCCCCGUGGGCACACGCCGUCCCCCAAAUACAGUGGCGGUCCCGCCGCAGCUUCCAUCGCGUAGUAGCUAACACCUCGCGACUGGAGAGCGGCGCGGCCACGCCGUAAAACACCCAACUCUUCUGAAGUUGACCUCGAAUCAGGUAGGAAUACCCGCUGAACUUAAGCAUAUCAAUAAGCGGAGGA